AAUAUUGCGCAAUGGAGGGAACUCUGACGCAGCGACGCCGCGUGAGCGAUGAAGGUUNNNGGAUCNUAAAGCUCUGUCCUUGGNGAANAAGGUCUUCGGACUUGACGGUACCUAAGGAGGAAGCCCCGGCUAACUACGUGCCAGCAGCCGCGGUAAUACGUAGGGGGCAAGCGUUGUCCGGAAUUAUUGGGCGUAAAGGGUGCGUAGGCGGCCUUUUAAGUCAGGUGUGAAAGCCCACGGCUUAACCGUGGGAUUGCAUUUGAAACUAAAAGGCUUGAGUGCAGGAGAGGAAAGUGGAAUUCCUAGUGUAGCGGUGAAAUGCGUAGAGAUUAGGAGGAACACCAGUGGCGAAGGCGACUUUCUGGACUGUAACUGACGCUGAGGUACGAAAGCAUGGGUAGCGAACA
rnacentral:rRNA from 1 species